rnacentral:rRNA from 1 species
GACGAACGCUGGCGGCGUGCUUAACACAUGCAAGUCGAGCGGUAAGGCCCUUUCGGGGGUACGACGAGCGGCGAACGGGUGAGUAACACGUGGGUGACCUGCCCUCAGCUCUGGGAUAAGCCUGGGAAACCGGGUACUAAUACUGGAUAUGACUCCAUGACGCAUGUUGUGGGGUGGAAAGCCUUGUGCGGCUGAGGAUGGGCCCGCGGCCUAUCAGCUUGUUGGGUGGGGUGAGGCCUACCAAGGCGACGACGGGUAGCCGGCCUGAGAGGGCGACCGGCCACACUGGGACUGAGACACGGCCCAGACUCCUACGGGAGGCAGCAGUGGGGAAGUCUUGCGCAAUGGGCGAAAG